AGCAACCACACCUGUCCCCACACUUUUUUUUUUUUGUAGUGAUGAAAUCUUGCUGUGUUUCCCAGGCUGGUCUCGAACUCCUAAGCUCAAGCAAUCCUCCAGGCUUAGCUUCCCAAAUUCCUCUCAGCCUGGGAUUACAGGCAUGAGCCACUGCACCCAGCCUAUAUGUUAUACUUUUUGAGGAACUCCCAAGCUGUUUUCCACAGCAGCCGCACCAUUUUAUGUUAGGGUCACAGCAAGGCAAGCCCAUAGAGCCCCCCUCCAUUCUCCCCUGCUAAGCUGAGCUCACAACAAAAACAGCCUCAAGCCUGCAAACAGGGCACCUGGGUUCCAGGAUGCAGGAUUAAGCAGAAUGUUAGCACCUAAGAACCAAGAUGUGGUUUUUCUUAGAAUAGCACCCGGCUACCUGCAAACCCCCUAUAUGACCCCUAUAGUCUGUAAGCCAGGCCGCUGUCUUCACUGCCUGUGGUGAGGCAGCCAGCCUGGCUGGUUGAAAUAAACUUGCUAAACCUGACCCUGGGUCUGCC